rnacentral:rRNA from 1 species
CCUACGGGUGGCAGCAGUGGGGAAUAUUGGACAAUGGGCGAAAGCCUGAUCCAGCCAUGCCGCGUGUGUGAAGAAGGCCUUCGGGUUGUAAAGCACUUUCAGUGGGGAAGAAAGCCUUGGGGCUAAUACCCUCGAGGAAGGACAUCACCCCCAGAAGAAGCACCGGCUAACUCCGUGCCAGCAGCCGCGGUAAUACGGAGGGUGCGAGCGUUAAUCGGAAUUACUGGGCGUAAAGCGCGCGUAGGCGGUCUGAUAAGCCGGUUGUGAAAGCCCCGGGCUCAACCUGGGAACGGCAUCCGGAACUGUCAGGCUAGAGUGCAGGAGAGGAAGGUAGAAUUCCCGGUGUAGCGGUGAAAUGCGUAGAGAUCGGGAGGAAUACCAGUGGCGAAGGCGGCCUUCUGGACUGACACUGACGCUGAGGUGCGAAAGCGUGGGUAGCAAACAGGAUUAGAUACCCCUGUAGUC